GCGGAAAUAGCUCAGUUGGUAGAGCACAACCUUGCCAAGGUUGGGGUCGCGGGUCCGAGUCCCGUUUUCGGA
rnacentral:tRNA from 1 species